GGACGGGCUGUGAGGUGUUUUUUCUAAACUAAAGCCUAAGUUUUGGGGUUUUAUUGCCAUGUUGGCACUUUGUGAUAAAUAAGUGGGUUUUGGGUUGCAGUUUGGGCACUUGGUCUCUAAAAGGUUCACCAUCACUGGAUGGUGGUUAGAGAA